AACGAACGCUGGCGGCAGGCUUAACACAUGCAAGUCGAACGCCCCGCAAGGGGAGUGGCAGACGGGUGAGUAACGCGUGGGAAUCUACCUAGUUCUACGGAACAACAGAGGGAAACUUCUGCUAAUACCGUAUACGCUCUAAGGGGGAACGAUUUACCGGAAUUAGAUGAGCCCGCGUAAGAUUAGCUAGUUGGUGGGGUAAUGGCCUACCAAGGCGACGAUCUUUAGCUGGUCUUAGAGGAUGAUCAGCCACACUGGGACUGAGACACGGCCCAGACUCCUACGGGAGGCAGCAGUGGGGAAUAUUGGACAAUGGGCGCAAGCCUGAUCCAGCCAUGCCGCGUGAGUGAUGAAGGCCCUAGGGUUGUAAAGCUCUUUCAGUGGGGACGAUAAUGACGGUACCCACAGAAGAAGCCCCGGCUAACUUCGUGCCAGCAGCCGCCGUAACAC
rnacentral:rRNA from 1 species